UAGAUUAUUAAUAUUUGGCUGAAGUCAUUCAAGAUUCUUUGUACUAGCUUAUAAGAUAGUAUCUAACAUUGAUUAUGCAUAAUUUAAUGAUUUGACUAGAUUAUUAAAGAAAGAAUGAAAAAGUUGUUUUUCAGAGGACAAAAUAAGAUUUAAUGCAUUUGUUUAUAGAUGUAGUGUACAACCUAAUGUUUUGAAUAUCCAAGGUCAAGGCUAGUGUUUGUGAUUCAGGUUUCUGGUACAUAAUAAGAGUGCACUAAAGGUUUGUACGGUAUUUAAAAGAAACACAGAAUAUAUUGAGCUAUUAGCAAGAAUUAAUGUUACACACCAUCUACUGGAUAUCAUAAUAUCAAGCAUUUUACAUUGCAUAGUAUACUGGGAGUUGUACAAUAUACUCUUUGAAAUAAUAAUACAUGUAUCAUGAUUUUGAAUUCUUAGCUUUUAUUGUUUAAACUGACAGAAAUAUUCAAGCUCACGAGUUUAUGCUCAGUAUUAAUGGAGACAUAAGAUGCCAGUAUCACCAUGGAAACUGCUGUAUGAAAAGUAUUUAUAUUCAGGAAAAUGAAAGAGAUAAAAAAGCAUUAGCAAUCAUCUAUUUCAUCUCUGUUAUAGGAAAGAAACCAGAGUGCAUAUGUUUUUAUUUCACUUCUUAUUGUUUUAUGUUGGUAAAAAAAAU
rnacentral:lncRNA from 1 species